GCGAAGUAGCUGAUUUCACACUGUCAAGAAAAGUCUCUAUCGAGGUUAAAGGUACCCGUACCGCAAACCGACACAGGUGGGUGAGGAGAGUAUCCUAAGGCCAGCGAGAGAACUGUUGUUAAGGAACUCGGCAAAAUGACCCCGGAACUUAGGGAUAAGGGGUGCCACCAUCAGGUGGCCGCAGAGAAUAGGCCCAAGCGACUGUUUACCAAAAACAUAGGUUUCUGCUAAGUCGCAAGACGAUGUAUAGGAGCUGACGCCUGCCCGGUGCUGGAAGGUUAAGGGGA
rnacentral:rRNA from 1 species